rnacentral:rRNA from 1 species
UACGGGGGGGGCAAGCGUUGUUCGGAAUUACUGGGCGUAAAGGGCUCGUAGGCGGCCAACUAAGUCGGAUGUGAAAUCCCCAGGCUUAACCUGGGAACUGCAUCCGAUACUGGAUGGCUUGAAUCCGGGAGAGGGAUGCAGAAUUCCAGGUGUAGCGGUGAAAUGCGUAGAUAUCUGGAGGAAUACCGGUGGCGAGGGCGGCAUCCUGGACCGGCAUUGACGCUGAUGAGCGAAAGCUAGGGGAGCAAACGGG